rnacentral:piRNA from 1 species
AUAGGUUUCUGUGGAAUAAAAAGC